rnacentral:tRNA from 1 species
GGCGGGAUGGAGCAGUCUGGUAGCUCGUCGGGCUCAUAACCCGAAGGUCGUCGGUUCAAAUCCGGCUCCCGCAACCA